rnacentral:rRNA from 1 species
AGAGUUUGAUCAUGGCUCAGAUUGAACGCUGGCGGCAGGCCUAACACAUGCAAGUCGAGCGGUAGAGAGAAGCUUGCUUCUCUUGAGAGCGGCGGACGGGUGAGUAAUGCCUAGGAAUCUGCCUGGUAGUGGGGGAUAACGUUCGGAAACGGACGCUAAUACCGCAUACGUCCUACGGGAGAAAGCAGGGGACCUUCGGGCCUUGCGCUAUCAGAUGAGCCUAGGUCGGAUUAGCUAGUUGGUGAGGUAAUGGCUCACCAAGGCGACGAUCCGUAACUGGUCUGAGAGGAUGAUCAGUCACACUGGAACUGAGACACGGUCCAGACUCCUACGGGAGGCAGCAGUGGGGAAUAUUGGACAAUGGGCGAAAGCCUGAUCCAGCCAUGCCGCGUGUGUGAAGAAGGUCUUCGGAUUGUAAAGCACUUUAAGUUGGGAGGAAGGGCAGUUACCUAAUACGUGAUUGUUUUGACGUUACCGACAGAAUAAGCACCGGCUAACUCUGUGCCAGCAGCCGCGGUAAUACAGAGGGUGCAAGCGUUAAUCGGAAUUACCGGGCGUAAAGCGCGCGUAGGUGGUUUGUUAAGUUGGAUGUGAAAUCCCCGGGCUCAACCUGGGAACUGCAUUCAAAACUGACUGACUAGAGUAUGGUAGAGGGUGGUGGAAUUUCCUGUGUAGCGGUGAAAUGCGUAGAUAUAGGAAGGAACACCAGUGGCGAAGGCGACCACCUGGACUAAUACUGACACUGAGGUGCGAAAGCGUGGAGAGCAAACAGGAUUAGAUACCCUGGUAGUCCACGCCGUAAACGAUGUCAACUAGCCGUUGGAAGCCUUGAGCUUUUAGUGGCGCAGCUAACGCAUUAAGUUGACCGCCUGGGGAGUACGGCCGCAAGGUUAAAACUCAAAUGAAUUGACGGGGGCCCGCACAAGCGGUGGAGCAUGUGGUUUAAUUCGAAGCAACGCGAAGAACCUUACCAGGCCUUGACAUCCAAUGAACUUUCUAGAGAUAGAUUGGUGCCUUCGGGAACAUUGAGACAGGUGCUGCAUGGCUGUCGUCAGCUCGUGUCGUGAGAUGUUGGGUUAAGUCCCGUAACGAGCGCAACCCUUGUCCUUAGUUACCAGCACGUCAUGGUGGGCACUCUAAGGAGACUGCCGGUGACAAACCGGAGGAAGGUGGGGAUGACGUCAAGUCAUCAUGGCCCUUACGGCCUGGGCUACACACGUGCUACAAUGGUCGGUACAGAGGGUUGCCAAGCCGCGAGGUGGAGCUAAUCCCACAAAACCGAUCGUAGUCCGGAUCGCAGUCUGCAACUCGACUGCGUGAAGUCGGAAUCGCUAGUAAUCGCGAAUCAGAAUGUCGCGGUGAAUACGUUCCCGGGCCUUGUACACACCGCCCGUCACACCAUGGGAGUGGGUUGCACCAGAAGUAGCUAGUCUAACCUUCGGGAGGACGGUUACCACGGUGUGAUUCAUGACUGGGGUGAAGUCGUAACAAGGUA